rnacentral:rRNA from 1 species
UCAUGGCGGACGGGUGAGUAACGUGUAAAGAACUUACCAUAUAGACUGGGAUAACAGAGGGAAACUUCUUAUAAUACUGGAUAAGUUAGUAGUAGCAUUACUAAGUAGUGAAAGGUAGCAAUACGCUAUAUGAGAGCUUUGCAUCCUAUUAGCUAGUUGGUGGGGUAAAAGCCUACCAAGGCUAUGAUAGGUAGCCGGCCUGAGAGGGUGGACGGCCACAAGGGGACUGAGAUACGGCCCUUACUCCUACGGGAGGCAGCAGGG